GGCCAGAGACCUCUCUCAGUUCUUUUCCACAUGGAGUUCUCCACCGGGCAGUUUACAUCAUGGCAGUUAGCUUCCAUCAGAGUGAGCACCUGGAGAGUGAGGGAGAGUGAACAGGAUAGACGUUGGGCUGCCUGCCAACAGCUGACCUCAGGGAAUCAAGAAAACUGAAUUUACAGAGGAAGACACUUUGGAGCUGGGUCCCAGAGCAUUCUGCUGGAGAUCUUGCAGAAGCUGUAAAACAAACAGGCGCUUGGCUCAUAAUUUGAGAUGCAAGUAAGAACAACUGUGAAAAGAAGAUUUCAUAAGGAAGGAAUGAAAUGCAAGAAUUUCUGAAGAGAAUUCUGUGAUACUGAAGUGAUGUAGCAACCAGUUAACCUUAAGUUCCAAAUGGAGACCAGAAUAUUAACUUUCAAGUUACACAAUUACUAGCAAAGAGUGACAAGGCCAUAGCUAAGAAAACACCCAUUCCAAAUAUAUGGAUUAGGAGGCCAAAUCUUAAGAAAAGAAUCUCCAAAUGAUACAUAUUUUGAAAGAUAAGCCUAGGAAUUACAAACUCCAUACAAUCCCCAUUGGUCAAAUCCCACUGGAACCAGUAAGAAGAGAGCAAAAUAGAAGAGGAGAAGGAAUCUGGAGGGGCAAAUGGAAGAUAUGUGGCAUGAGAUAUUAGAAGCAUUAUGCCCAGUUAACUAGCCCAACAGUUAAACCACCUGUCACCAUCUACCUGUGCUGCAUCCUCUCUGCUCCAGCCCUUCUUCAAACCCAGAAGCUUCUGCUGGGAAAGAACCUGUUUCGUGUUGCUUAAAAUUGUGCUCAUGCUGGAGAAUGUAAAACAUACUUACAACCUGCAGGUUCUAAAGAUCGUUGUGGAAUAUUUUAAAUGAAUUGUGUGUACACCGGAUAGGAACAUUGUGAAGAGUGGGUUUCGCCACUGAUCUUUUGAUGGUGUUUGGGUUUAAACCCCAGGUUCAUCAUUCUGUGUGUGUGAACUUGGAGCCUCUUGAAGAAGGUUCUGGUAACAGUUUCAGUUGCAACUUGAGGUUUAUGAAGGAAAAGGCACGGCAAUGACUCCUUUUCUGUGUCCCACCAAGUCAAAGUUCACAACCGACUGGCAAAACAAUCUGUGUGUUGGUUUGCACUCUGAAGGUAUUAAUAACUUGGGAGAUUCCUGUCAAGUCUCCAGAUCCAGAAGUCUCUAGCUUCUUAGAAACACUAACUGGAAGAAAAUCCAAGAGAUCCACAAGAAUUACUUUGCUUGCUACUUGGGACAUUUGGAAGGCAUCAAUGAAAGCCAUGUCAACAUAUCGUCUUAAAAGCCUGAGUCCUGGAAUAGGAAGACAUGUGGAGCAGAGUGAUAACAGGCCAGCCACAGCCAUCGAUGCCUACACCACUAAAUCCAUCACUAACAAUUUUGGCAGAGGCUGUGGUUAAUCAGUAUCUGAACCUGGACCUCAGGGAUCUUCUUCUGCUCAGCCUGGGACCAGACCAAGAGGAUAUACGGCACAGUGCUUUUGACCAUCUUGACCAGAACCACAAAGAAUUGGAAAUUUCUCAGGAAUGGAUGUUCUCUACUGAUUUCCAAACCUUAGGUAUGUCCUUUUAGCUCUCAGAGAAGCAGACUGUCUGCCCUACGUGAUGGAACCUGGAAGUGUGAGCUCCUGGAGCCGUGGCAGCCAGCUUGCAACCAUGAGGUCAACCUUGUCUGUGAUUUGAACAAUAAUUUUCUACAACAAGCAGAAGGCAGAGCCAAGAGUCACAGAGAAAAACCAUGUCCUGAUGAUAUCAUUUGAGUCUGGUCAAGCUCUGACCGAAGCUAGAUUUAUUCCUGAACUUCUGGGUUAGGUGAGGCAAUAAAUUCUAUUUUGGUACAAACCAGUUUGGUUUGGAUUUUCAUUCACUUGUAAUCAAAAGAAGUGUAACCAUUACAACUCAGCUCUUUAAAAAUGUCCUGUUCUUUUUUCUCCAGACGGCAAAAAAUUUUGAAAUUACUUUUCUCUGAACAUUUUAUUGCAAAACUAUGCUGUAUUACAAAAUUUUAAGCAUUUGAAAUUUAAGAAGAAUGGUAUUUCCUUGGAAAUAAUUAAAUGACUAUCUAUGGAAAGUUA